UAACACGUGGCUAACCUGCCCUCGGGACGGGAAUACCCCCGGGAAACUGGGGCUAAUCCCCGAUAGGUGAAGAACUCUGGAAUGAUUCUCCGCCCAAAAGACGCUUAAAUCAUGCUUUUAGGCGCCGCCCAAGGAUGGGGCCGCGACCGAUCAGGUAGUUGGUGAGGCAACGGCUCACCAAGCCUUUAACCGGUGCGGGCCGUGGGAGCGGAAUCCCGGAGAUGGGCACUGACACAAGGGCCCAGGCCCUACGGGGCGCACCAGUCUCGAAAACUUUGCAAU
rnacentral:rRNA from 1 species